GAGUUUGAUCCUGGCUCAGGAUGAACGCUAGCGGCAGGCCUAACACAUGCAAGUCGAGGGGCAGCGCAGGUAGCAAUACUAGGCGGCGACCGGCGCACGGGUGAGUAACGCGUAUGCAACCUGCCCCCGUCUGGGGAAUAGCCCGUCGAAAGGCGGAUUAACGCCCCAUAGUUCUCCCUGCCGGCAUCGGUGGGGAGGUAAAGGUUACGGACGGGGAUGGGCAUGCGUGCCAUUAGCUUGUUGGCGGGGUAACGGCCCACCAAGGCUACGAUGGCUAGGGGAGCUGAGAGGCUGAACCCCCACACUGGUACUGAGACAC
rnacentral:rRNA from 1 species